CAUUAAUUUUAUUGCAACUAUCAUCAAUCUAAAACCCCCUGCUAUAUCUCAGCAUCAAACCCCCUUAUUCGUAUGAUCUGUUGUCAUAACAGCCAUUCUUCUUCUUUCCCUGCCAGUUCUAGCCGCUGGCAUUACAAUACUCUUAAUGGACCAAAAUCUAAACACAACGUUUUUUGACCCUGUAGGAGGAGGAGACCCUAUCCUCUAUCAACACUUAUUUUGAUUCUUCAGACACCCUGAAGAAAUGAAUGAUGAAGGUGAAUGCUACCAAUGAAGCACCUAUCAACCUGUAUGGUAUGAAGGAAAUGCAUUCUGAGGUGAUAAAAAGGUGUUCCAUUGUGCGACACAGAGAUUGGAAAGCUGCAGUACAUACAUAAGAUGAAGCAUUCAAACAGAACUGAGAAGUAAGAUAUUGGUGGUCAAGAUUGUAUAAAGGAAAGUGUGAGUGGUGGCGUAGGGUUCCAGUGAAUUUUGGAAAUUUCAUGUGAGCUCAUGUAAGCAGACACUGGGAAGACAUUCCCUGAAACAGACUCUGAAUUUGAGGACAUCAGCUGGAGCCCCUCUCUUUUGCCCAGUGUGGCUCUGGGAUUUUGCCUCUGUCGUGUCAUGCACAGUGAGAUAAGGACAGGAAGAGUCCCCUCAUCUGGCUUUCAGGACUGGACAAAGACAUCCCACAUUACAGCUGAAGGAGAGUGAUACCUCUACUGUAGGAGUACUCUCAAGAGCAAGAAUUUCUGCUCAUAUUGGGACACCCCUGUAUUCUAAAAAUUACCACAGAUGAAAUUAGAUGGAACGGAGUUAUUACAAGGAUGGAGAUAUUGAGAUCGCUGCUUUUUUCCUCAUUUACAUAUACCUUGUGGACAGAAUGAUUAAUAUUUUCAAAAAAUAUGUCACAUUCAAACGGU